GCAGCAGUAGGGAAUCUUCCACAAUGGGCGCAAGCCUGAUGGAGCAACACCGCGUGAGUGAAGAAGGGUUUCGGCUCGUAAAGCUCUGUUGUUGGAGAAGAACGUGCGUGAGAGUAACUGUUCACGCAGUGACGGUAUCCAACCAGAAAGUCACGGCUAACUACGUGCCAGCAGCCGCGGUAAUACGUAGGUGGCAAGCGUUAUCCGGAUUUAUUGGGCGUAAAGCGAGCGCAGGCGGUUGCUUAGGUCUGAUGUGAAAGCCUUCGGCUUAACCGAAGAAGUGCAUCGGAAACCGGGCAACUUGAGUGCAGAAGAGGACAGUGGAACUCCAUGUGUAGCGGUGGAAUGCGUAGAUAUAUGGAAGAACACCAGUGGCGAAGGCGGCUGUCUGGUCUGCAACUGACGCUGAGGCUCGAAAGCAUGGGUAGCGAACAGGAUUAGAUACCCUGGUAGUCCAUGCCGUAAACGAUGAGUGCUAGGUGUUGGAGGGUUUCCGCCCUUCA
rnacentral:rRNA from 1 species